rnacentral:rRNA from 1 species
AACGAACGCUGGCGGCGUGCUUAACACAUGCAAGUCGAACGCGAAAGGGGCUUCGGUCCUGAGUAGAGUGGCGCACGGGUGAGUAACGCGUAGAUAACCUGUCCUGGUGUCUGGAAUAAUAUCUCGAAAGGGGUGCUAAUACCGGAUAUUCUUGCUUUCUAUAAGGUAUGCAAGGAAAGGUGGCCUCUGGAACAAGCUACUGCACGAGGAGGGGUCUGCGUACCAUUAGCUAGUAGGUGGGGUAAUGGCCUACCUAGGCGACGAUGGUUAGCGGGUCUGAGAGGAUGAUCCGCCACACUGGUACCGAAACACGGACCAGACUCCUACGGGAGGCAGCAGUGAGGAAUAUUGCGCAAUGGGGGCAACCCUGACGCAGCGACGCCGCGUGAGUGAGGAAGGCCUUCGGGUCGUAAGGCUCUGUCAAAGGGGAAGAAGUGCAUGGUGGUUAAUAUCUGUCAUGUUUGACGGUACCCUUAAAGGAAGCACCGGCUAACUCCGUGCCAGCAGCAGCCGCGG